rnacentral:lncRNA from 1 species
GAGGAUGCCUCGGUGCGGGGCGCGUCGCCCCUCUCAGGCCACCAGAGCCCGGAGACCUCAGAAAUUCGGCUCUGGGUCUGUGGGGAGCGAAAUGCAACCCAAAGCCCGUUUCCCCCCGCAGCCCCGCGCAGAUAAACACGCACAAGCACGCACACAGACGUCGCCGCGGCCGGCACUCGCAGCCGCAGGUUCCGGCGGCGUCAGGGAAGAGCCCGGGGACCAGACGGGGUCGCUGCCUUCGCCUGGCAGCGCCGGGCGCGGCCGCUCGCCCUCGCCGCUCGCAGGUGCGACGGAAGUGCCGGGCGUCACCGGCCCGGAGCAACGGCGCAACGGCCGGUCUGGGCCUGCAGCCUCGGCGGCCCGGGCGGGGCGGGAGCGGCCGGCCCGACACAGCUGCUUCUUCAUAAAACACUGAUGAAGCUACAAGGCCAGAAUGUUUACAGACCUAGGAGUUGCUUAUGACCUCACCAGCUGAGAACUGUGGGGAUUGAGGAGGUUACACAGGAGGAAGACAAGGAGAAACUGUUACUAAGGGGCAAUCUUCAUUCCCUAGGCUUCGUGAGUAACCCUGCAAACCACCUUGGCUGCUGGUCAGCAAAUCACUGACUGCAUUUGCUCCUCCUUGACUAACUUUGGGAAUCACACAGCUGAGCAGUAUAUAUUAGCUUCCUUCUGGCUUAUGAGAAAUAGCACAUGUGGGUUAUGUAACAAUUGCCUGGGUUAUUUUGCAGAGACUUGAACUUUUGCUAAGACAGGUUCUUCAGUGGACCCUUCAAAUAUCCCGUGGAUAAACACAGCCAAAGGCUUGGCGUCUGUCUUCCUACAGUGUCUGUCCAUUCCACUGUUCUAACUCCUGGGCCAGCUCUACAUUAGAUAAAUGGUCAUUAUUUGAAAAAGAAAAUGUAUUUUCAAGACUUGUAUAACUUGACCUGUUGCCUAUUGGAGCUGGUGUUUCUUCCACCCCACCCUUGUGCUCUCAAGGUAGCUUGCAGGCUUAGUCUAUAAACCAUGAGACCAGAAUGGUUUAUGAGAAACUCAGUAGUUUCUGAGCAAAGCUGACUACUCAUUAGCCCAGCCCAGCAAAUAAAAUUGUGUGUGUGUGUGUGUGUGUGUGUGUGUGUGUGUGUGUGUGUGUGUGCUCAUACACACACACAAGAAGCAUGUCUUUUGAAACCAUGUUGGAACUAACAGACAAGUCCAUCCCUGAAGAAUCAAAAGCUUGCUGUUUCAUCUUGUUCCACGAGCAGCCCAGUCACCUCUUUGGUCAGUAUUAGUGUCCUUCUAUUCUUAUGUGGAAGUCAAUAAAUGGAGCCUUGCCUUGACUGUCUCUGCUCACACCAUGUGCAUGGAGCCUGGCUUGGAGGCACAGGUUUAGAAUAUGAACUACUCAAGGCUGAGGCAAGAGCAUCACAAGGGUCAAGGUCUGCCUGUAGAAAGACCCUAUCUCAGAAAGUCUAAAGAGGGCUGAGGAUAUACUCAGAGCAUGCACACUAUCCAGAAAUGCAAAAAAAAAAAAAUAUUAUGACUUGGUCUCAUUUCUGUUGUUCCCACGCCAUAAAUCCUUCUAUCCAAUCUCAAUUUUAGUCUAUGGUUACUUGACUUGGAUGCUGCAGUGUAUGUACUGAGACAGAACAUCAUGACGGGAGCAUGUGUGAAACAAAGCAGGUCACAUCAGCAGAUGGAAGGCAGGCCUGGGGUAGCAGAAGCAAGAUAAUAGACUUCCUAAAAGCAUGUCCCCAAGGACCUGCUCUCAACAAGGUCCUAAGUUUGCACCAUCUUCUAAUAGUCCAUCCAAGGAUUAAUCCAUAGACUGAUCAAAGCCUUCAUGAUUAAUAUCCUCCCCACAGCUCCACAUUUAUUUAGACAUCAAAUACGUGGCUGGGGAUAACCUUAAACUUUGAUCCUCCUACAUCUACUUCCCGAGUGCUAGGGUUACAGGCAUGUGUCACUAGUUCAUGUGAUGUCAGGGAUCAAAUCCAGGCCUUUGUGCAUGCUAGGCAAACCCUGUACCAACUGAACUUCAUUCCCUGUUUGCAUUUAUUGUCCUUUACAUGCAGCCUCAGUGAUAAAUGGCCCCUUUGGAAGCCCGGCAGUGAAUUAACUAAGCUUUGGGAGCCCACCUGGAGAGCACCUAUAGGAACCCCUAUUGCUCAGAACUGGAGAAGCAGCUGGGAGUGGUGCAGGGCUUUGAUCCCAGCCCUUGGGAGCCAGAGUCUGGUGGUUCUCAGAACUUGAGGCCAGCCUGAUAUGUCUAGUGAGGUCCAGGACAGUAACGGCCACUGUUGUGAGACCCUGUCCAAAACAAACAAAUGAACGAUCAAAGCCCCAGGACCAUAUUCCAAAUGUUUCACACACCAUUGUUGAGUCCACACUCGAGCCCUGGGGAAAUGCUGAGCAGUUGUUAGUCCGGAGGCAUGAUGUGUUUCGUAUCAUUCCUCUGCUUCAGUGUAGACCAUGGACUAAGACUAUGAAAGACAAAGUGUUGAGAGCUGGAAUGAGGGAGGCGAUUGAAGAGAAAGCUGAGAAUAUAAACUAGAGCUGUUUCCUGGGACAAACAGAUGAGCCUUGAACUGAGUGGUGCAGGAGAGAGCAGAAGCAGCUUAACUGGAGUGCCAGAGAUC